rnacentral:lncRNA from 1 species
UAAAGUCUUAAUUAAUUUUGAUCUAAUAAAUUAAGAUAACUCCUAAUUGGAUUAGGAUUGAAGAGUUUAAUUGAGUCAAGAUUCAAAUGGGUCAUAAUUGGAUUAGGACUCAUAUGGAUAAGUCCUAAUUGAUUCAUAAAAUUGAUUGAGAUCUAAUUAGAUUAGACCUCAAUUGUGAGGGGAUUAAAAAGGGGCUGAAAGUGGGGCCCACGCACCUCAUGAGAUGAGGCUUGGGCGUGGGACAUGAGAGGAUUAGAGGGAGGGGCGUACGCCCCUCCUCUUGCC